UGCAGCUUUGUCAAAUUCAGUGCUCCCUCUUCAGUAGUUUGCACUGGCCAAAAUAGCUGCAACAGUGAUUGUAGUUCAUGGGCCCCAUAUGUCUUCACCAUAGACUCUGGGGAUAAAUAUGUACUACAUACAAGA